UGAGCAUGUGGUAAAGCAGCACGGGCCUCCCUAAAUCAAUUACAUAGAUGCGGUUCUAACAGUUUUGCGAACAAACAAGCUGACCAUGAAGAUGACCAUGGAGAAAAGAUGAGCUUAUUAGCUCCCUGGAAAAAACCUCAUACAAGCAAGGAUGGAAGUUUUCUUCCAGGCACAGUGACUGAAGAUUUUGUGGAUGAUGCGAAAGAUAAAGUUGAAGAGUUGAGGUUGAUAUACCUUUCUAAGUCCCAACAGGAACUUGAAGAUGAAGCCUUUGAGCUGACCAUGCAUGCAUGGUGGAGAGAUCCUUGAUUGUCCUACAGGUUACGGACUUGGGGUUAGUUCAGAGAGAAUACCAUGUUCUUUCAGAUGAUCGUUGAAUUCGUAGCUCAGUUACUCACCACCUCGAUCUGAUCGAAGUGCUUUGAUUUUCUUGCCAAGCUGAUUUUCCACUUCAAUCUGAAAAGAAUUUCUCAAAAGAUUCAGAUUUGUGCGACAUAAGGUAGACAUAGCUAUAUCUACUAUAGUCGUCCGUGAAUGUGAUAAAAUAGUGAUAACCAUUUCUUACGGUUGUGCUCAUUGUUCCACAAUACAUCCGUGUGUAUGAGGUCCAAUAAGUCACCAACCCUUUCUCCGAACUUGAAGAAUGGUUGCUUUAUCAUCUUGCCUA